CAUUGGUGUGAAUUGCAGAAUCCCGUGAACCAUCGAGUCUUUGAACGCAAGUUGCGCCCGAAGCCAUUAGGCCGAGGGCACGUCUGCCUGGGCGUCA
rnacentral:rRNA from 1 species